rnacentral:rRNA from 1 species
UACGGAGGGGGCUAGCGUUGUUCGGAAUUACUGGGCGUAAAGCGCACGUAGGCGGCUUUGUAAGUUAGAGGUGAAAGCCCGGGGCUCAACUCCGGAAUUGCCUUUAAGACUGCAUCGCUAGAAUUGUGGAGAGGUAAGUGGAAUUCCGAGUGUAGAGGUGAAAUUCGUAGAUAUUCGCAAGAACACCAGUGGCGAAGGCGGCCAACUGGACCAACACUGACGCUGAGGCGCGAAAAGCGUGGGG